rnacentral:rRNA from 1 species
UACGAAGGGUGCAAACGUUGCUCGGAAUUAUUGGGCGUAAAGCGCACGUAGGCGGCUUAGCAAGUCGGAUGUGAAAGCCCUGGGCUUAACCCAGGAAGUGCAUUCGAAACUCCCGAACUCGAGUCCUGGAGAGGAAGGCGGAAUUCUCGGUGUAGAGGUGAAAUUCGUAGAUAUCGAGAGGAACUCGGUGGCGAAGGCGG